AAAGGGAGGAGGACCACAAGGCUCAGGGACUGAAAAGCAGGGUAAGCGGCCGCAGCCAUGAUGGAUCGACCCGAGUCGCCAACGAGAUGGAUCUUACGGCAGCUUUAGAGGCAGAAGUUGUGGGCAUGCUGAACUCAACAUUCACGUGACUGGCAAAUCUGGAAGGCACUUCCCGGUCAGAGCCAAGUUCAAGGUGGCAGAAGAAACAGUGUGGGUGACCAGAAGCUAUGAAAGGAAAAGAAUUUAGACAUUAGGUUCUUUGAGGAUGACAUGGAAGAAGAGGCCAAAAGAGCCACUCAAUAGCAAAGGAGGCUCAGCACCAGGCAGUCUUUCCGAGGGUCCAAUGCUGAGCGGAGGACUUACAACAGAAAUCACACUGCCUGUGCCUCAGACCCUUCUGAUUACAGUAGCCUUGUAUCCUAGCAAUAAAACCCACAGCCUGAAAAACCCACUCA